UACAGAGGUCCCAAGCGUUGUUCGGAUUCAUUGGGCGUAAGGGUGCGUAGGUGGCGUCGUAAGUCGGGUGUGAAAUCUCGGGGCUUAACUCCGAAACUGCAUUCGAUACUGGCGUGCUUGAGGACUGGAGAGGAGACUGGAAUUCAUGGUGUAGCAGUGAAAUGCGUAGAGAUCAUGAGGAAGACCAGUGGCGAAGGCGGGUCUCUGGACAGUUCCUGACACUGAGACACGAAGGCCAGGGGAGCAAAACGGG
rnacentral:rRNA from 1 species